rnacentral:lncRNA from 1 species
GGUACUGUGAGUCGUUAUGAUUGGGGGUUAAGGUGAGCAGGGGAUUGAGCUGAAGGAAUAUGUUGUUUGCUGAAAUGCUUUUGGGUUAUAAAAAGCAGCUGAGUCUGCUUAUUAGUGCAUUGCUUUUCCUUUCCUAUGUUACUGCAGGUAGAAACGAGCAAUUACACACGGAGAGACCCCAUCUGGCUGGAUUUCUCAUUCCUCAUCACAUUAGCCCUCUCAGAACUUUUCACUCCACGGCCUUUAACUUUGACUUGAACGUAUCAGCCUUGAGUGUCUCUAUUACUUCUGAGUAAUGCUUGGUUUGGGAGGAGUUAACACUAUAAAUCUUUGUUCUUACGGAUGUUCCUGGCCUGCCUACCUGUGCCUGCCAUCUUUCAACAUAAAUUCCUAAGUAGGAGUCUAACUUUUAGAAAUUUUACAUUAAAGAUCUCACCCCACUGAUCACCCUUGGUAAUUCUAAGUAGAAUAACUUUGAGUGCUUUCAUGUAAUUUUGGUAUACUUUCAAUAUUCUAUAACACUUUAUCUGACUCUUGACUUUAUAGUCCAAAGAUAAAUGUGAAACCAGAAUUUUGAGAAAUUUGGAUGUGAGAUGUGGCACGACAGGAGCAAUAAAGGAUGAUAAAAUAAGCUGGAGGUAUCA